ensembl:lncRNA
GCCGCACAGCAGGAGGCAGGCCCUGUGGCUCCCUCAGCCCAGACCCUCUGUGUGCUUUUGGUGUCAGUCCUGCCCCAUCUCGGGCCACCUCCUGUCCUCUUCGGCUGCACUGUCACCCUGGGCUCAGGUCCUCCCUGUGGAACAGUGGAAACGUGCAGCGGCCGCCUCCCCGUGUAGAGCAGGCCGCCCUCCUGCUUCCUCGACCGGGUCUUGCUGGAACUUCACACAGUCAGACUGUGAGCCCUGCUCCCCUGAAACCGCUUGGGCCCCUCCGUCCAUGUGUGGCCUGGGGACACAGGCUGUGGAUGUCGCAGGACCUGGGCUGAGCCACUGAGGUGGAGCAGAGGGACCCGGGCUUCAGGGCACCUCCCGUGGCUCCGACUGCCUUGGUCUCCUGCUGCCUGGGACCCCCUUUCAGAGCACCCUUGGGGGCAGGGGCCUUGCCCCCACCCACCUGGCAUGGGGCUGGCUCUGGGGGUGCAGCAGUGCAGGCCCCGUCGCAUGCCACCUUCUCCCAGAAGCUCUGGUGCUCCGGGAGGACCAGCCGCACUGAACUUGUAGCCCCCCCAACCCACCCCCACCCAGCAGGGCAGGCUGGUAUACAGAAGGCGCUUCUUACAGGUGGUGGACAGACCUGGCAAGCGGCGACAUCCUUGGCACGUGACCCAGGCGUCCUUCUGGCUCCAGAGCGCUCACGGACUGCUGGGGGGAGGGGUUGAGGCCACAUCAGGGACCCCACAGAGCUGGGACCAAGGUCUGCAGAUGCCUUCCCGGGUCACUCCAUGCCCCCCCCUCCCCCGGAGAUGGACAUGCAGCCAGUGUGCAAGCAUCUGAGGCUGAGGCGGACGUCACAGGUGUCCACUGGGCCUCCCAGGUCGCCAGGCCCAAGUGAAAGGCCGCCGGCCCGCGGCCCCAAUGUGCGCGUGGCCCCCCUUGAGCUCAGGGCACCUCAGGGCCACGGUUCGCCUGGAACAAACCAUAUGUGUAAUGAGUGCUGACUUUACUUUCCUGUCUGCAGAGCGCCUGGGAGGACCAGCCGGCCAGGCGUGAGCCGGAAGGUGGUCUGAUCGACAGGUGAGGGCACACGUCACCCGGGCCAGGAGCCUGGUCAGAGGCGGCCAGUGCUGCUUGCCCACACCCCCCAAACUCUUCUCGGGCCCCUCCCACCGCAUCCCCCACAUCUGGAUUUUCUCGGGCUGGAGGCGUCACACACUCCUUCCGGUGCACAGGGGCCGGGUGGCCGUGUCCGGAGACGCUCUUGGUUGUCACCACCGGUGCCAGUGCUGUCAUCUAGAGGGACACUCACGGUGCACAGGACAGCCCCCAACGACAGAGGACCACUUGGCCCCGGGUGUCCAUGGUGCCGGGCCGGGGACCCCUGCCCGCCCCAGGAAAGAGACAAAUGGGCACCACCUGGGGGUUUUACCAAUUUUAUUUCUAGACUUUCCACGUUUGUCUUGUUUCCUGCUGGAAACGUGCCAGUUACACAUGUGCGCCGGGGAACAGGGCAGCGCGCAGCCAAACCACACAGACCCCAAGUGCCGCCCGCCCAGCCCCCUCAGCCCUGCCAGUCACGGGCCAGCCUCUGGCCUUGGAGCACCCCUGUCACCCCCCCACCGCGGACCGGUCGUCCCUCAAGGACCCCGUUUGGUUCAGAGACGCUGCAGCCAGAAUGGUUGAGGUAAGCGGAAGCGGUGAGCCUGCGGGCGGGGCGGGGCCGGCCUGUGGCUUUGGAGCACCUGGCCCCCCCCAGCCCCCCUCCCCGGCGGGGACCCCCGCCCUCCCCGCCAACGGUGCAGCUCCUUUGGGUUCGGCAGCAUGCUAGGCGGCUCUCGGGCACACAGCACGGUUAGCUGGCUUGGCGGAGAUUUGGAGUUUCUUUCAAUUAGCAUUUUGCAGUAAUGAACAGAAUGACAAAACAGCUCCAGAACACAGUAACAGAUGCAACGCACUCCCAACCUGUAACGCAUUCCAGAAGCCAUUCCAAUCACCCAGUGACUGAGUCCUACAGCACAGCACCACGGUGGCACGUUAAGGCAUACUCGUUACAAUAAUAAUAAUAAUAAUAACAAUAAUAAUAAUGCAACUUUCAUAGCUACACACAAGGGUCACAUGGGCUGUAGAAAGAACUCCCUAUUAGGGAAAGUCCCAGAUCUGGUGACGAGUCCAGCAAACCAGGCCCAGGGCAGAGGACACGGACGUGGCCUGUCUCCAGAGCCGCCCGGGGGUCCUCGGGAACGCCGGCCCUUGGGGGGGCCCCCGCCAGGCCCUUUCUGGGGGGUCUCGUCCCCCUGUCUGUUUGCUGAAGCAAAGAGGCUGUGGGUCAGACAAGGCCUGGCCGCCUGGUUUACACGCGGCUAAGUGAAGCAUGAGGUAUCGUGAACCAGAAACCUUUUUGGAAUAGAGCAGUAAUCACAUUAAGUCAAAA